rnacentral:rRNA from 1 species
AGAGUUUGAUCAUGGCUCAGAAUCAACGCUGGCGGCGUGCCUAACACAUGCAAGUCGCACGAGAAAGGGUAGUAAUACCUGAGUAAAGUGGCGCACGGGUGAGUAACACGUGGAUGAUCUACCUCCGAGUGGGGAAUAACUGAGAGAAAUCCUAGCUAAUACCGCAUAACACUUACGAGUCAAAGCAGCAAUGCGCUUGGAGAGGAGUUCGCGGCCGAUUAGUUAGUUGGCGGGGUAAUGGCCCACCAGGACGAUGAUCGGUAUCCGGCCUGAGAGGGCGCACGGACACACUGGAACUGAAACACGGUCCAGACUCCUACGGGAGGCAGCAGUGGGGAAUUUUGCGCAAUGGGGGAAACCCUGACGCAGCAACGCCGCGUGGAGGAUGAAAUAUCUUGGUAUGUAAACUCCUUUCGAUGGGGAAGAUUAUGACGGUACCCAUAGAAGAAGCCCCGGCUAACUUCGUGCCAGCAGCCGCGGUAAUACGAGGGGGGCAAGCGUUGUUCGGAUUUAUUGGGCGUAAAGGGUGCGUAGGCGGUUUGGCAAGUCUUAUGUGAAAUCUUCGGGCUCAACCCGAAGUCUGCAUAAGAAACUGCCGGGCUUGAGUAUGGGAGAGGUGAGUGGAAUUUCCGGUGUAGCGGUGAAAUGCGUAGAUAUCGGAAGGAACACCUGUGGCGAAAGCGGCUCACUGGACCAUAACUGACGCUGAUGCACGAAAGCUAGGGGAGCAAACAGGAUUAGAUACCCUAGUAGUCC